CCCACCCCAAAUUCACAUGUUGAAGCCCUAACCUCCAAUGUGAUGGUAUUUGGAGAUGGGGCCUUUGGAAGGUAAUUAAGGCUAGAUAGGGUCACAAGGUUGGUCCCCUUAUGAUGGCAUUUGUGUUCUUAUACAAAGAGACAGGAGACUCUCUCCAUCAUGUGAAGAUACAGCAAAACAGCAGCUGUCUGCAAGCCAGGAAGGGAACCCUCACCAGGAACCAAACCAUGAUCUCGGACGUCCCAGCCUCUAGGAACGCCUUUCCAUCUUCCUAGAGUGCCUAACCUGGCCUGUGUGCUUGUAAGCUUCUGCUCAUUCUUCAAUACCCAGCAGAGACUUCCUCCUCCAUGCAGCCUUCCAAGACCCACCUGAGUACAGAAAUUGGCUCUUCCUCCUGCUGGUCCUGAGGCACUCCAUGUUCAUCCUAAGAAAGGUCACUUGCUCUGGGGAAAGCCACCUGCCAUGCCGUGAGGACAUUCAAACUGCCUAUGGAGAGGUCCACAUAGUGAAAAACUAAGGCCCCUGCCAAAACCCAUAUCAGAUACCAUCAGCAUAAUGUCAUCAAUGCAGUGGACCAGUGUGACAUGGGGAACAUAAAGAUGGUCACGAUUUUUGCAGACUCCAUAUGCAAAGUAUUAUAGGCCUUUCCAUCUAUCCGGAGUGACCUACCAGAGACAGGACAGUUUGACCAGCAAGCUUCUGAUCACUCUUCAACACCCAGCAAGAAGUCUUAUCCUCCAUGCAGCCUUCUAAGACCUCUCUAAGCACAGGUAUCAGAUCCUCCUCUGGAUCACUCUGUCUUGUUACUGCAUUUAUCUCACUGGAUUUCAGUGACGUGUGUAGACAACUAAUUUGUGCCUGCCUGAUCUGUGAGCUCUUCAUUCAAAGCAGUUGGCUCCUGAGUACAGGAUAAACCCCUAGAAUUGAAUAAAUUUGGUCUUACCUCA
rnacentral:lncRNA from 1 species